CCUACGGGAGGCAGCAGUGAGGAAUAUUGGUCAAUGGGCGCGAGCCUGAACCAGCCAAGUCGCGUGAGGGAAGACGGUCCUAUGGAUUGUAAACCUCUUUUGUCGGGGAGCAAAAGACGCCACGCGUGGCGUUCCGAGAGUACCCGACGAACAAGCAUCGGCUAACUCCGUGCCAGCAGCCGCGGUAAUACGGAGGAUGCGAGCGUUAUCCGGAUUUAUUGGGUUUAAAGGGUGCGCAGGCGGAAGAUCAAGUCAGCGGUAAAAUUGAGAGGCUCAACCUCUUCGAGCCGUUGAAACUGGUGUUCUUGAGUGAGUGAGAAGUAUGCGGAAUGCGUGGUGUAGCGGUGAAAUGCAUAGAUAUCACGCAGAACUCCGAUUGCGAAGGCAGCAUACCGGCGCUCAACUGACGCUCAUGCACGAAAGUGUGGGUAUCGAACAGGAUUAGAUACCCGGGUAGUC
rnacentral:rRNA from 1 species